CAACCUUAAAACAUGGAUCAAGUUUUCAAGUAGAAAAAGAGAAUUAGCUGUUUUCACAGUCGUUGUUUAUUCAGUUUUUUUGAUAGAUGCCUGGAUAAAGGCUGCAAAUAAGAAAUCUGCAUGGCGCAUCAUUUUUGGAAUGUUCUAUGGAUGUGUUGUGCUGUUCUCUUUCAUUUUGAGUAGAGGUUUUAUCAGGAUGCAUGUGAAGUGGGUCUGGUUAUAUUUUCUGUCUCUGGCACAAUUCUUCCUACUGAUUUCCUCAUUUGGACUUCCCAGUCCAGGUAAGUUGCACCUGAGUACAGUUCCCUUCACACUUAGAUUAUUAAAUACAGUAAUAUGA
rnacentral:lncRNA from 1 species